rnacentral:rRNA from 1 species
AGUUUGAUUAUGGCUCAGAUUGAACGCUGGCGGCAGGCCUAACACAUGCAAGUCGAACGGUAACAGGAAGAAGCUUGCUUCUUUGCUGACGAGUGGCGACGGGUGAGUAAUGUCUGGGAAACUGCCUGAUGGAGGGGGAUAACUACUGGAAACGGUAGCUAAUACCGCAUAACGUCGCAAGACCAAAGAGGGGGGACCUUCGGGCCUCUUGCCAUCGGAUGUGCCCAGAUGGGAUUAGCUUGUUGGUGGGGUAACGGCUCACCAAGGCGACGAUCCCUAGCUGGUCUGAGAGGAUGACCAGCCACACUGGAACUGAGACACGGUCCAGACUCCUACGGGAGGCAGCAGUGGGGAAUAUUGCACAAUGGGCGCAAGCCUGAUGCAGCCAUGCCCGCGUGUAUGAAGAAGGCCUUCGGGUUGUAAAGUACUUUCAGCGGGGAGGAAGGGAGUAAAGUUAAUACCUUUGCCCAUUGACGUUACCCGCAGAAGAAGCACCGGCUAACUCCGUGCCAGCCGCUGC